rnacentral:rRNA from 1 species
GGACUACCGGGGUAUCUAAUCCUGUUUGAUCCCCUUGCUUUCGCGCCUCAGCGUCAGGUAUAAGCUAGAAAACCGCCUUCGCCACCGGUGUUCUUCCACAUAUCUACGCAUUUCACCGCUACUUGUGGAAUUCCGUUUUCUCCGCCUACCCUCUAGAUGGAAAGUUUCAAUUGCUGUUCCGGGGUUGAGCCCCGGGAUUUCACAACUGACUUUUCCGUCCGCCUACGCGCCCUUUACGCCCAAUAAAUCCGAUUAAUGCUUGCACCCUCCGUAUUACCGCGGCGGCUGGCAC